UACGAAGGGGGCGAGCGUUAUUCGGAAUCACUGGGCGUAAAGCGUGCGUAGGCGGUUUUGUAAGUUGGAAGUGAAAGCCCAAGGCUCAACCUUGGGAUUGCUUUCAAAACUACAAGACUCGGAUUCGGGAGAGGAUAGCGGAAUUGUCAGUGUAGCAGUGAAAUGCGUAGAUAUUGACAGGAACACCAGUGGCGCAAGCGGCUAUCUGGACCGACAUCGACGCUGAGGCACGAAAGCGUGGGGAUCAAACAGG
rnacentral:rRNA from 1 species